ensembl:lncRNA
GGGGCAGUAGUUAGUGGCAGUUAGGACUGUAGUUUGCGGCAGUUGGGACAGUAGUUAGCGGCAGAUGGGACAGUAGUUAGGGGCAGCUGGGAUAGUAGUUAGGUGGAGUCGGGACAGUACUUAGCGACAGUUUUGACAGUAGUUAGGGGCAGUUGGGACAUUAGUUAGCGGCAGUUGGGACAGUAGUUAGCGGCAGAUGGGACAGAUGUUAGUGGCAGUUGAGAUAGUAGUUAGGUGUAGUUGGGACAGUACGUAGCAACAGUUGGGACAGUAGUUAGGGGCAGUUGGGACUUCAGUUUGAAGCAGUUGGGAAAGUAGUUUGCGGGAGUUGGGCCAGUAGUUAGCGGCAGAUGGAACAGUAGUUAGCGGCAGUUGGGACAGUGGGUAGGUGCAGUUGGGACAGUACUUUGCAACAGUUGGGACAGUAGUGAGUUGUAGUUGGGACAGUACUUAGCAACAGUUGGGACAGUAGUUUGAAGCCUUUGGGAAAGUAGUUUGCGCGAGUUGGGCCAGUUGUUUGCAGCAGAUGGGACAGUAGUUAGCGGCAGUUGGGACAGUGGGUAGGUGCAA